ACGCUCGACACCUACGGGAGGCAGCAGUUGGGAAUAUUGGACAAUGGAGGAAACUCUGAUCCAGUGACGCCGCGUGAAGGAAGAAGGUCUUCGGAUUGUAAACUUAUUUUGUCAGGGAAGAAAAAUGACUGUACCUGAAGAAAAGCACCGGCUAACUACGUGCCAGUAGCCGCGGUAAUCUGAGCGGGCUGGCAAGGC
rnacentral:rRNA from 1 species